rnacentral:rRNA from 1 species
UACGGAGGGGGCUAGCGUUGUUUCGGAAUUACUGGGCGUAAAGCGCACGUAGGCGGCUUUGUAAGUUAGAGGUGAAAGCCCGGGGCUCAACUCCGGAAUUGCCUUUAAGACUGCAUCGCUAGAAUUGUGGAGAGGUAAGUGGAAUUCCGAGUGUAGAGGUGAAAUUCGUAGAUAUUCGGAAGAACACCAGUGGCGAAGGCGACUUACUGGACACAUAUUGACGCUGAGGUGCGAAAGCGUGGGGAGCAAACAGGG